AUACCGGAUGUGCCGGAAGGUUAAAGGCUUGCUGCCUGAAGAUGAGCUCGCGUCUGAUUAGCUAGUAGGUGGGGUAAGAGCCUACCUAGGCGACGAUCAGUAGCUGGUUUGAGAGGAUGACCAGCCACACUGGGACUGAGACACGGCCCAGACUCNUACGGGAGGCAGCAGUGGGGAAUUUUCCGCAAUGGGCGAAAGCCUGACGGAGCAAUACCGCGUGAGGGAGGAAGGCUCUUGGGUUGUAAACCUCUUUUCUCAGGGAAGAACACAAUGACGGUACCUGAGGAAUCAGCAUCGGCUAACUCCGUGCCAGCAGCCGCGGUAAUACGGAGGAUGCAAGCGUUAUCCGGAAUGAUUGGGCGUAAAGCGUCCGCAGGUGGCUGUGUAAGUCUGCUGUCAAAGAGCAAAGCUCAACUUUGUAAAGGCAGUGGAAACUACACGGCUAGAGUGCGUUCGGGGCAGAGGGAAUUCCUGGUGUAGCGGUGAAAUGCGUAGAGAUCAGGAAGAACACCGGUGGCGAAGGC
rnacentral:rRNA from 1 species